GUAUGUGUGUGUUUAUAUAUGUGUAUGUAUGUGUGUAUAUAUACACAUAUGUGUAUAUAUACACACAUAUAUGUAUAUACAUAUACAUACAUACGCAUAUAUGUAUAUAUGUGUAUACAUA
rnacentral:miRNA from 1 species